AUUAAACGCUGGCGGCAUGCCUUACACAUGCAAGUCGAACGGCAGCACGGGGGCAACCCUGGUGGCGAGUGGCGGACGGGUGAGUAAAGCAUCGGAACGUAUCCUGGAGUGGGGGAUAACGUAGCGAAAGUUACGCUAAUACCGCAUAUUCUGUGAGCAGGAAAGCAGGGGAUCGCAAGACCUUGCGCUCUGGGAGCGGCCGAUGUCGGAUUAGCUAGUUGGUGGGGUAAAGGCCUACCAAGGCGACGAUCCGUAGCGGGUCUGAGAGGAUGAUCCGCCACACUGGGACUGAGACACGGCCCAGACUCCUACGGGAGGCAGCAGUGGGGAAUUUUGGGACAAUGGGCGCAAGCCUGAUCCAGCCAUGCCGCGUGAGUGAAGAAGGCCUCGG
rnacentral:rRNA from 1 species